rnacentral:rRNA from 1 species
GCAAGUCGAACGAGAAAGUCACUUCGGUGGCGAGUAUAGUGGCGCACGGGUGAGUAACGCGUAGGUGAUAAACCUUGAGAUGGGGGACAACAGAGAGAAAUUUCUGCUAAUACCGCAUAAGUAGGGAAGCUUUGGAUAGCUCCUUAGAAAGAUGGUCCUUCGGGGCCAUUGUCUUGAGACUGGCCUGCGUACCAUUAGCUUGUGGGUGGGGUAAUGGCCUACCUAGGCAAUGAUGGUUAACCGGUCUGAGAGGAUGAUC